rnacentral:rRNA from 1 species
UACGUAGGGUGCAAGCGUUGUCCGGAAUUAUUGGGCGUAAAGAGCUCGUAGGCGGUCUGUCACGUCGGCUGUGAAAUCCCGGGGCUCAACCUCGGGUCUGCAGUCGAUACGGGCAAACUAGAGUAUUGCAGGGGAGACUGGAAUUCCUGGUGUAGCGGUGAAAUGCGCAGAUAUCAGGAGGAACACCGGUGGCGAAGGCGGGUCUCUGGGCAAUAACUGACGCUGAGGAGCGAAAGCGUGGGGAGCGAACAGG